UGUUCUGUUGCUUAGUUGGUUAAAGCGCCGGUUAAGCGAAUACGGAGUCGUGGGUUCUAAUCCCACCAGAACGA
rfam:Aedes albopictus isolate Foshan contig176993, whole genome shotgun sequence.